rnacentral:lncRNA from 1 species
GUGUUUUUGACAGAGAGCACAUGUUUCCUGAAAUUCGAGUAAAAGUUAACAAAAUGUGUGAAAACCCAAAUUUUUCUUUCUGGUGCAAAUGCUAAUCAAUUAAAACUAAGUAAAACCCUGUAAUGACUAUCAAAGAAGUUUUUGACAUCAUAAAAUUCCCUAAAAUUAUGCUUACUUCUAAUCAAACAGCAAAUCAUAACAACGCAUACAGUUGCCCAAAAUACCGCCAUCUGCGAAAAAACAGCUUUUAAGCAUUUCUUCCUAUUUAAACAUUGUAUGUGGUCAAUAUAAGAUUUAAUAAACAAAUUCUUAAGAAUCUGAAAAAUUUAGAGUAAAAAAAUAUGUGCGCGAAUCAUCUUAUUGCUUGAAAUAAAGGGGGUGAAACUAAGAGAUUGCAAUCUGCAUUGUAACUACCAGAC